rnacentral:lncRNA from 1 species
GUUUGGUUAGGUAGGCACAUCUUUCCAUUCCCUCAUCAUGUGGACUAGUUCAUGGGGGAACAGAGAAGCUAAGAGGUUACCUAAAGGUCAUAUAUUGGUUGGUGAAUGAAUUGAGGCUCAACACUGUUGGUGUGACCUAAGAACCUGAGUUCCUGCCAUGUACUAUUCCAUACAGUAUCUUCAUGUGCCUUGUGAAUGGGAAAGUAGACUGUUUGUCAGACCUCUUUCUGUUGCCAAUACAGUCACCCUUCUCCUGUGCCUGUACGGGUCAGGUGCUGAGCUCCGCCAUGGAAUGGGUGGAGUCGGUGAGCUGGAGAGUACGAACCUAGCUUUAUAUUCUAAGAGGAGCGAUGACUGUGGCGUUCCAGUGGGAGCACAGUGAUUGAUAGGAUUCAUUUGUAUUCUGUAUUAAGAGCCUGUACUACUUCCCACCUUCAAAGACUUCCCGAGUCUAGAGUAAGAGCAUAGAAGACAAGGCAGAAUAUUUCUCCUGCUGAACAUUUCCCAUUUAAAACUCAUCAUAUUUCCCUGUGUGUGUGUGUGUGUGUGUGUGUCUGUGUGUGUGUGUGUACGUGUCUAAAUAAAAAGUAUUAUUUUGAGACUGGAUUUUGGUGAAAAACAAUUCAUCCGGAAAGGACUUCAAUGAUUACUUGAUACUCUAAAACCCACUUAUCAGGGGCUGGAGAGAUGGCGCAGUGCUUAAGAGCACUGGCUGGUCUUCCUGAGGACUCAGGUUCAAUUCCCAGCAUUCACGUGGCAGCUUACAACUGUCUAUCACUCCUGUUCCAAGGAAUCUGACACCCUCACACAGACAUGCAGUCAGUCAAAUCAUCAAUGUACAUAAAAUAAAAAUAAAUAGAAUCAAAACC